ACAGGUGCAUUCGAAGAACCGAAUUAGCCAGAUGCUGAUUAGCAUGAUGAUAUCAUCAUCUUGGAUGUGACAUUUCAUCUCAGUUGUAUUAAGUGACGUAUGAAGAACAGACCCCUGUGCUGCAUUGGAUAUAUUUACAUACCACAAACAAUACAGCAAUAAAAUCUUUGAGUAGACACUCUUAUUGUCACCACAAUAUACAUUUCAUACCACCCAACCCUAAAAUAACUUUUUCUUUAUCAGGAUCCGGUGACAACUAGGGGGUGUCGACAAACUUCCAUUGAGGACCAUCAGACCACUCAAGAAGAAUUACCUCAUAUAACCAAGAUUUAAUGUUGUAAAGCAGAUUUUGAGCGGAUCUCCUUCAUUCUGCCGCCAGCUCCCCAGACCCUCUGGGUGCACCAGUUGUGGAUAUUACAGGCCAAACUUUGGUUUUCACAUUGUUUGGAGGACAACAUCGGGCAGGAUGUAGGGGCCCACAGUUUGGGCACACAUACACAGGGCAGCUUUGGACACCCUAGGACAACAUGCUAAGAAGCACAGAUCUACCGAUAGCCCUCCAUCAUUCCCACAUCCAUCUUGCAACAAAGUUUCAUUAAGUGCAGUCCAUAAUCAGUGUCUGCCAAACACGGCCUGCAUCUUGUCCAUUGCAGAUGUUAUGGAUUAUUCUAUUAGAGAUCUUUCUAUUAAUGUUAAUAUGUUAAUAUGUAGUCUGUUAUGUUGUGAAUAAAGUCAACCCCCCCUCA